UACGGGGGGAGCAAGCGUUGUUCGGAUUUACUGGGCGUAAAGGGCGCGUAGGCGGUCAGCGCAAGUCAGUUGUGAAAUCUCCGGGCUUAACCCGGAAAGGUCAACUGAUACUGUGCGACUAGAGUGCGGAAGGGGCAACUGGAAUUCUCGGUGUAGCGGUGAAAUGCGUAGAUAUCGAGAGGAACACCUGCGGCGAAGGCGGGUUGCUGGGCCGACACUGACGCUGAUGCGCGAAAGCCAGGGGAGCGAACGGG
rnacentral:rRNA from 1 species